AAUGCAAAAUUUGUGGAGAGUCAGGGCUUCAAAUAAACAAACAACAACAGAGUGGAUGUACAAAGUAAACAAUCGAUGAAGACAAACAUUAAGGGCGGUUAAGCCAAAACGAAUUUCCAAAGGAAAUUGAAU